rnacentral:lncRNA from 7 species
AUCUGUUUCAGUUCCAUCAGGUGGUUCCUUAAGACAAAGCAAACCUUUGGUUAUUUGUGCCGUUCCCCUGCUCCUGAAAUAGGGAUAGUGCUCCCUAAGGUAAAAGAAGAUCAGGACUCACUCGUAAGGCAGCAGGAGGCGGAGGCAGUAGCACAGUGAGGGCCAUGUGCCUCUGGAACAGUUUCGCGUUGGUAGAGCAAUUCCAAAUGUUUGUGUUGCAGUUCUGCAAAUACUUUCUGUUACAGUACAUAAAAGAUACGAUACCUGCCAGCAUUAGCUUUGUAAAGAGAGACCGUUUUCUUCUGUUGGCUAAUUAUCCAGUGAAUAUAUUCUGUUUGAAGAGGCACUUCAAUAAUUUAGCAGGCAUGUGCCAGGUAAUAUAGGAGCUUUUGUCUUCCUGGCAUCACAGAUCAUGUGUAACUCAAUCUCUGGCUUUAUGUAUUCAAGGAAGUGUUUGGUAUAGCUCCUGUAUCAAGUGCCACUGAAAAGCAGGCCCAGAUAAAAGAUUAAGGUAAUGCUCUGCAAUGGGAAAGUUUACCUGUUACUGUCCAGUGUGUCUUUUGCAGGCAUGAACUGCUUUAUAAAUGUGAAAUAUGCCUGUGCCAAGGUCCAAUAAUGAGCCUGUUGAAACAACAGAAAAAAGCUGAAAACUGUCUUCUAAACACAUACGGGUCUCUCUCUAUGUUCUACUUUAUGGUGCAUCAACAAAUAUUCAUCAGUCUGAUGCAGAAUGCUUUCUGUCAUUAACAUUACUUAAAUGUCAGCCACUACCUGUGCUGCAUUCCUUGGUUUGCUGGACCAGAUGAGGAGAACGAUGAUGCUCAGUUCCUGGCAACACCACGUAAGCAAAACUCAAAUCGCAGAUUUUCUUCAGCCCCUUUCAAGGAAUUCAAUCACAGCUGUGCCUUCUGCCACAGAAGUUUAAGUUCAAGUGCCCUUUUCUGAGUCAAAAGUUUCAGUGACCUUUCUCCAGCAGCCUAUAAUACCACAACUGACCUACAGCGAAGGGAGAUGCGUUUUGUUUGGGAUGGGCACAAUUACUGUACUCAGCAAAGUGCAGAAAUAAUGCAGUACCUUAAACUGGAACCUAGCUAAGAUGUCUACCUUGCAUGGAAAAGGCUGUUUAUUCUCAAUUGACUAAAACUGGAGUUAAAAUACAAUCUCUUUUUUAACUUUCUUUUAAGGACAGCUGUCUGCCGUGCUCCUGCUGUAACCGAGUGGGAUUUAUGUGGACUCCAAAGGACAGAUAUCACUUACUGACAGUGGCUUAGGUCAUCCUGUUCACCAUCUGAACACCUUUCUUUGGUGGUCUUGCCAGCAGCAGUGGGGAACUAAAGGAAGAUUGAGCUUUCCCAGCUGUGGUGAACGUGGCAAGUUCUCCACUAGUAACUUUCCUAUCACGGAGACACCUGAGAAUGUACCUGCUGCUCCCUUGCUCUUACAAGGCCUUAUCUUCAUGGGCUGUGCUGUUAAACCCGGUUACCUGCAGCAUUAAAUCAGACCGCUCUGUGUCCACUACAGCUAAUGGUCUGCCUGUGUGCAACCAGUGGAGCCAGCAAAGGAAAUGGAGCUUGCUCAGCAUCCCCUGCUCUGAAAUAUUUCAGAACACAAAAUAAUCCUCCUGGAAGACUCCUACUAAUGCAAAAGCCUAUUCAAAGAGCACUCCCGAUUGGGAACAUCCUCUAUUCAAAUCUUUUAUUAAAAGUGGCCU